AAUGUUUCAAAUUCAGUAAUUUUUUGUAAGGGGGAUCUUUAAUUCAUGACCUAAACAAUGAACGAUUCAGAUCAUUUUAAUGAUAUUGUCAAGUUGACCCAAACGAUUGGUUAACAUUGUAUUAACCGUUUUUUUUAUCUAGCAAAUACAUAUUAUGUGGUGUUUAUAUCGGAAGAGGAGGAUUCGGUGGUGACACCCUAGCUAGGUCAAGAUAUUCAAUUCGUUAUAGUCUCAAUUAUAACAUGUACUGUGUUUGAUGAAUUAUUGCUAUCCAAUUAAUACUUUACAAUGAAAUUUAUUGAACUCAAACCAGUUUCUUAAUUAACACACGACAAUACCAUAACAAUCUUAUUAAUUUUAAGAACACUCGAAGACUCAUCUCAUAAGUGAGCGGUAUAAUCCAUGCAUACACAACUGCUUCUUUAGCGCAGAGGUCUGUUCAUUAUAUUCUAUAACUCGAAGUGCUGGCAAAAGGAUUAGGAGGCAUGGCGAGAUUCUCACCUUCUCUUUCCAACAUUUGAACUACAACUUCCAUUGAAGGACGAUCUAUUGGAUGCCAUUGGAUGCACCAUAGACCCAGAAUUGCAAGUUUCCUAGCAAUUGUUACAUCUACUUCGUCGUCACCGAUAUGGAUUCGUAGGUCGUUGCCAUGCUUUAAAAGGUUAUACAUCCAUUCUGGGAAGUAGACUUGACUAGAGGCGUCCUCCAUGACUUUAAAGUUUUUUCUGCCUCCAACCAUUUCAAGCAACAAUAUUCCAAAACUAUAGACAUCUGACUUAUAGGAGACAUUGCUGAAGUUCCUUGAGAAGAUUUCAGUUUUCAGGUGCGAUGUAGCCCAUGGUCCCCCUGGCUGUAGUCAUCAUAUUUCUUCUGUGCUAAACCGAAAUUAGAAACUUUUGGAGUGAAAUCUUGGUCUAGCACUACAUUAUGUGGUUUGAUAUCGAAGUGCAGGAUUUGUUGGUCGCAUCCUUGGUGAAGAUAUUCAAUUCCUUUAACUAUUCCUAGAGCGAUGUCUUGCAACUUAUCCCAACCAAUGAAUGAAUUCUUAUUAUCUGCUGAUGAUAAUAAAUUUUGCAAAGAACCAUUUGGUAAGUAUUCGUAAAUCCGUCUGCACAAACUCCAACCAAGCAAAUCGCAUUGACAUGGUGGAUUUGACACAUUGUCCCCACUUCAUUUAUGUAAUCUUCCCCAUUUUCAUUUGAAUUGUUGAGGAUUUUCACAGCAACAAGUAAUUCAGAGGAAAGCUUUCCUUUGAACAUUGUUCGGUAUGCCCCUUGAGUCAACUUUUCCUUGAAUUGAUUUGUUGUCCUCUUAAUAUCAGCAUAGGAAUAUCUACUUGGCUUCAUCGCUCUGUAAUCAUCCAAAAACUUUCGAUUCUAAGCCGAUUUUCUUUGUCCAUUUUGUUAGAGGUAUAGAUAUGGUUGAUUGUCAUCACCUUCGCUAUUAGAACUAAACACAGUGCACAAAUACCUGCAAAUAUUUUCUUUUUGUGCCAAUCAUUUUUUAAAGCGUUUUUAGCCAUUUUAAACUCUCUUCAAAACAUACACUUAAUUAAUUUCCUCACCAAUAUGUUCGUAAAGAAAAGAAAAAGAAAGAAAAAAUAAAUAAAUAAGGUGAAAUGAAGGUUACGAUCUGUAAAAGUUGUUCAUGAAAUAAGGACCGAUUUUCAAAUCAAUGAAAUCCAAAAUUAUAGUUUGCAUAUAGAAUCUUCAAUGAAUCUUGAAAUAAUCUUGAAAUUAUAGUUGGAAAGUAAACUUGGAGUGUAAAAUACCUUUGCAAUGUUCAUGGAAUGGACCAAUGCAAUAUUCCUAUCUCAUCAGAUAUAUAUAUAUAUACGCUAAUCACCAAUGAAACAACAAUGACAGCGUAAAUAUGGUUACCAGAAUUGUUGCCAGGGCUCAAUCUCUCCAGACAUUCACUACCAUAUAUGCUGGAACAAUAUUUAUCUCUUACUGUUGACGGUGGACAACUGAAUAAGCAAGCAACCAUUACUGUAAAACAUCUCCCUAGGCAAGCAACCAUCAUAAGGUGUUCCUCUAAUUGCAUGAGAUCUGUAGUUAAUCGGCCCCACUCCUUCUGGAUGUUUUAGUCAAUGGCCGACGGGUAAGGUGAUCUCUAAAUUUUUAUCUGACUAUGGGCCAACAAAAAUAAAUAAAUAAAUAAAUAAAUUUAUCUCUUUAAAGAGUUAAAACUGCACUAAUUGGAAAUAUCCCUUGUGCUCUGACAGCAUGUCUGGAGGAAGUCUCCUAUUUGCGGCUUACACAGUGCUCCUUCUUCUUCUUGUUCCUUCCUCUUGUUCCCAAACCGCUUCCAAUAAUAUUACAGCUGAUAACUCUGAUUGUAUCCGUUCUUGUGGAAAUAUUAACAUAAGCUAUCCAUUCCGAUUGAAAGGAGAAUCUAAACACUGCGGCAACAAAAGCUUCGAGCUAUCUUGUGAGGCCAAGGGAAAUGGUACUACUCAUCAUGCAGUGCUAUCCUUGUUUUCAGGAAAGUAUUAUGUACAAGCAAUCAAUUACAAUAACUUCACAAUCCGACUUGUGGAUGUUGGUGUUCACAAGAUCAAGGACAACUACUUCUCCCACCCACUCUUCUCCUUGACCCCCUUCAACUUUUCUUAUUACUCCGAUUAUACAGGUCCUCUUCCUGAGUAUUACCAUAUAGAAUCAUUAAUGUCUAUAAUCUUCCUGAGCUGUGAAAUUCCAAUGAAUCCUUCCGAUCUCAUUGUUGAAACAGCUCCAUGCAUCAGUGGGGUCAACAACUAUUCUUCUUCCAAUUCUUCUUUCUCCAAUUUAACAACAUAUUCUUAUUUCAUACAAUUUCGGUUUGGGUAUGGCUCUGAGAAUGACCGAAGUUUACACAAUUUGCUGGAUUCCUGCAAAAUAACACUAACGGUUAUGGUGUCCCCUUCAACUGAGGAGCACAUGACGUCUUGCAAAGGAAUAUAUAAUGAAAUAGCGCAUGGCUUUGAACUCUCAUGGCUUCAUCAUGCAUGUAAAGUAAUGUGCAGAUCAGGGGAAUCUUGCAGGCUGAACCGCAACGACAAUGGAAUCAACUGCUUCCAACGCCGGUUAAAUUUAAUACCAAAAGGUUAGAUAAUUGCCAAACCUUUAAAUUAUAAAUUAUAUAUUUACUGUAGUGUCAAAUAUCAGUUUUAUCCACUUUGAUGACUAUGAUAGCAUGUUAAACCGUAAUUUCCAACCGUUACUAAGCUAAUGUUACAGUUUUCUUUUCAUAAUUUGUGUCUAACCAGAAUUCUCUUUAUGCUAAUGUUACUGUCUUCUUUUGCAAUAUAGUCCCUUGGUACGACGAGAUCAUAAUGUCCAUAAUCAAGAAAGGAGGUGAGUGGAUCCCUCAACUCUGUAAAUAGACGUUUACUUUUCUUUGGCCUUUUCGCUUGACUAACCACCUUAGUCAUUCCAUUGAUCGAUUGAUUUCUCUACUUCACCCGAUAUACAGGCUCUUCCAAUUUGAUCAGCCUUUCCCUAUGUAUAGUUACAGCUUCUGGGAUGUGCAGUCGCUUCCCAAGGACUAUAUUAUUAUUAUUUUGAUUGAGAUGGAUUUGCAAAGGACUAUAUUAUUAUCAUUAUUAUACUUCGCGUUCAUUAAUUCCAUUUUUGUGAACCAUGCAGCAAUAUACCUGGCAGCCAAAUUUUCAUUUGGUUUUUGUUGUUUAACUGCACUGCUAAUAUAUAAAUGGCGAAGGAGGCACUUGUCAUGCCAAUAAGGUACUCUUACUCCGACAUCAAAAAGAUGACCAGAGGUUUCAAGGACAAAUUGGGGGAAGGAGGCUGUGGCUCUGUAUACAAGGCAUGACUUUAUCAAUGAAGUUGGUACCAUUGGAAGGAUUCGUCAUGUUAACGUGGUGCGACUUAUUGGCUUCUGUGUUGAUGGUUCAAAACGCUCUAGUAUAUGAUUUCACGUCUAAUGGGUCUCUUGACAAAUACAUUUUUUCUCAACAAGGAGAUGUGUCUUUAAGUUGCCAGAAAAUAUUUGAAAUUGCACUUGGAGUGGCUCGUGGUAUUGAUUACCUCCAUCAAGGCUUGGACAUGCAAAUUUUGCACUUUGACAUCAAGCCUCACAACAUUCUUCUAGAAGAGGAAUUUUACUCCCAAGGUCUCUGAUUUUGGGUUAGCAAAGCUAUAGAAAUUGGAUAGGAACCAUGAGAUACAUUGCUCCAGAACUGUUCUACAAAAACAUUGGAGGUGUUUGAUACAAAGCCGAUGUGUAUAGCUUCGGAAUGCUAUUGAUGGAAAUGGCUGGUAGAAGGAAAAACCUGAAUGCAUGUAUAGAACAAUCAAGCCAAUUUAGCCAAAUCUACUUUCCGACAUGGGUUUCUGAUCAAUUGAAGGCAGGAAAGGACAUAGAAAUAGGAGAUGAUGCAACAGAUGAGGAAAAGAAGAUCAUAAAGAAGAUGAUGAUGGUGGCUUUAUGGUGCACACAAAUGAAGCCUAUCGAACGCCCUUCAAUGAAUAAAGUAGUGGAGAUGCUUGAAGGAGAAAUUGAGAGCCUCCAAAUGCCUCCAAGGCCUUUCUUAUAUCCACAACAAAUUCCUGCAGAUGAAGUUGGUGUGGACAAUCGAAGUCCCUGUGCAUCAGGUGCUUCAGAAUCUGAAGAGAUUACUUUGAUUGCUGAUGCAAAUGAAGUGAAUCAAUAUUAGUCACGAUGUGGAUCUAUGUAAGGGAAAGUUAGCAGCUCUACUCUGUAUUUGAUCAUAGCACAAAUAUUUUUACAUGUUGUAAUUGAUUUAAGCAAAUAAUUAGCCUCUCCUUUUGGUUAUUGUUUGAGAAACUGCCUGCCCGAAAUGCAAUGACUUGAACUUUGAUGACAAUUAGGUUUACACAAAUGAAUUGCCUAAAAGAAACAAUUCAUUUGUGUAUGGAUAUUUUGUCGAGUGGGCUUAUUAUGCCUGAACGGUAUUAUGUUGGGUUUUUAAAAAGCUGUGCAGUGGCAAAUAGCAAUAAUGAGAAUCCAGGUAUAGGGUAAGGUCCUUCUAGCAAAACGAACUGUGGAACAUAAGGUGUUGAGAACAAAGCAAAGGCAAAUAGACUGAGAGGAAAGUUUGUAUCAACCGCAAAGCAGGCAGCUCAAAAGUUUGUACCCUGCCCCUUUAUGACAUUUAUGCAUCUUCCCCUGUCCUCUGUUUUCUUCUUAAACGUCGUCAAGUUUCAGUUUGCAGACAGAGCGAGUAUAUUUGUCUGUACCUAUUUAUAGUUGCUCAAGUUAAAGAUGGCAUCAAUAAUGGAAAGAGAACUUCGGCCCUUCUCUUCUAAGCUUGAAGCAAGGGUUCAAAAUUAAACAAGAGCCUAUACGUCAAAUAAUCUCCAUAUCUGAAUUAGAAUCCAGUUCUACCGACAAUGACUAAACCAUAUAUAAGAGUUUACAGACCCAGGGCAAAGCUACAGACUUGGACCAAAGUGAAACUCAAACUCAAAAAGCAACGAAGAAAAAUUGGGAUUUCAAGCUAAAAGAUUGAAAAGAGCAAGCUACAUGACCGAACCACAGACAGGAACGAAGAAAAAACUUAAAAAACAUUAGCCUAAGCUGCACAAUCCACGCGGGCCGACCGUGGAGACCUUCGAAAGGGAAGUGCCAGUUUCACUAAAGUCUAAGUUCUUAACAUAGGAAUAUGUCAGACAAACUUGAUUAACAAAUAAAUUAAAGAAAAAACUGCAACUAAACCAAUCUGAUAAGUGGUAAAGUGGUAUAAUCUUCUCUUCCGACAUAGGUAACACACAUCACACAAGUAGACAUGUUAAAACUAAAAGUUACACUCAUUCCAUACACAGCUCGGUUAUUAGAUCAUUGAUCCCAUCCAUUUUCAAAUCCACUAGGAUCGGCAAAGCCUAUAGAUGUUCUAAACAACCACUCGUAAGGUGGAUUCAACGAGUUUAAUAACCAAAGCCAAAACAAGCAUGAGACAGAUGUUCUAAGCAACUACUCUGUUUCUUUCUAGUUUCUACUAAAUAAUGUUGCCUCCAUCCAUUUUCAAAUCCUCUAGGUCUAGGAUAAGCAAGCCUCCGUCAAAAAAAACCAAGAGAAAUUAAAGGCAAAUGAGCUCUACUUGACCUCUAUCAAACAUCCUCCUCGCACAGACGCACAGCUACUAAUUAUACAACAACACAUUCCUCGUUCCUAACUCGUCACAAUUUCAGAGACUUCAAUUGAAAAGUGAGAGAUUAAAAAAAGUUACCAUUUGCACCAGACGCAUUGCCCCCAUCUCAAACCCUAAAUUACCUUUAAAUAUUUUAUUGACAUUUUAUUCCACCACUAGUUAUCCCUACUAUUAUUGGAACUAGGCGGCUAUUAGGAGAAGAUGAUAGACCUAUAGAUAUUAUCUUAGAAGCACUCUAAGAGUUCGCCCUCCCUAUCCAAAAAAAAAAAAAUUACAAAGAUACCAUUUUGCCUUUACAUUUAACAAAAAAGAUAACGAAAUUGACGGUAGGACCAUUUGUCCUAACGAAAGUAAAGUUGAAGGACCACCGAAAUGAUUUUGGAAAUUCAGGCACCAAAAUGAGAAUGAGGUAAAAUUCAGGGACCAUUAGACCUAAAAUCCUUUAGAAUAUAAUAUUGAUUGAUUGACAUUCGCUUGACUUCGUAGUCGUUUUAUUGAUCGUUCUCUUCACUACUACUACAGGGGCAAUUAUUGACCUUAUUUAUAGGCACUUCCACCUUGAUAGACUUUUCCCUAUGAAUUUUGCCAACUAUUGCCGUGAUCAGCUUGUGGACUGUAUAAUUGUUUACCCGGGUAAGAGAAUACUGGUGUUGAUCUCACUGAAACAUUAUUCUUUAGAUUUAAAGCCACAAUAAAAAUUUAUGCUCUUAUGAGAACGAAACACUUACAUGGUUGAGAUGGGUUUGAAGAGGAGUAAUUAUUAUUAUUAGGGUUAAUUUCAGUUUGUUUAGAAAUAUUUUUAUUAUUUUUAAUGUUUUAUUAAUAUUUUAAGCAAUUUAAGUUUUAAAAGGUGAGUCAUAUAUGCCACAUUAACAACUAAAGAAAAUUUUAACACCGAAACCGGAUUGCAAAACACUGAAAAGCUUAGAGUACGUAAUCAUUAAAAUUAAGAGUGUGUGAGCAAACAUGUCUUAAGAGUAAGAGUUUAAGGUACUAAAUUGAAAUUAACCCAUAUUAUUAUUAUUAUCCUUCUUACUAAUUCCUUUUUUUGUGAACCAUCGGUAGACGUGAAAUAUUUAUCUCUCACUGUUGACGGUGGACAAUUGAAUAAGAAUGCAUGGCCUACGUAUUCUAAGGAAGACGAAGAACAAUUGCUGUAAAAGAACUCCCUCGGCAAGCAAUAAUCAGAAUAUCUUGCUCCAAUUGCAUGAGAUCUGUAGUUGCUCUCUCUUAAAUAAAGAGCUUAGCUGACGACGAUGGUAUCUCAAGCAUAGUCUAGUUGUCGCCAGUGCAUGAAAGAUCAAAGCCACGGAAGCCACAAUAGAUUGGCUGCCUACCUUUAAGUCGAAAUGGAAAUCGAAUGGCUGGGCCUUCCGGGCCACAUCUUGUCUCUCUGCAAUCUUGAAGGACUCCUCCACCAUUGACUACAUCUACCAGUCGUACAAUUAUCAUGAGUUGCAUGAGCAAGCACCAUAAGAAAUUCAUGAUGAGAACCAAAGCCACAGCAGCACCAAAAGAAAUUCAGGAUGUUUGAGUCCGUCAAUGGCGGGUGAAUCAUGCUUGUUCACCGGGUGGAUGGCUUCCCCGGUUGACUGUGUAACAUCCCGACUCCAAAUUUAAUUCCCUAUUAAAUUUAUUUAAGUGAAAUUACGAAUUUACCCUUGGGAUAUGGGUAUUUUAGUCAUUUUCUCAUUCGAAAAGAGUUUGGGACAGUGACUGGUAUUUUGGGUUGGUCGUACUGAGACGAGUCCGUAGACAUGCGGUAGGCUUGAAUCGGAGUUGUAACGAAGUUUUGGCGACCAAAAUAAGUUCAGUGGCAAACUUGUAAUUAUUUCAAAAAGAGUUGGGGUAAAAAUCUGAUUUUUGUUUCUUUCUCUCUCACUCUCUCUCUCUCCAUCCUCGUCGCGAACAGCCCCCUCCCCUUCGUUUUCUCACAGCCGCCACCCUCCAAGACUACCGUCGGCGCCACCGUCAACGACCGACCUCGAAACUGAUCCCGUUCGAACCACCGCUUCUCCCUCGUCCUUUCUCGACCAGUCUCAGCCAUCACUGUCCACUGUGCUCGCCGGAAUCAGUCGAAAAUGAGCCAGUUUUGAUAGAAUUUCUCACCGCUCGAUCUUUCUCCUCCGGAAACCAAUUCUGAUGGGUGAGGUAUGGUUUCUCAUCUAUUUUUCAAACUCUAGCUGUCUGUUGCAUAGGAUUGGAUCGAUUUUGCGUCUAGGAAACCGAUUUUGGAAUCUAGGUUUUGGCCGAAUUUCAAAGUAAAAUUCCUGUAGGUUGUCGUCCGAAUUGGACCUCCUCGUCGUUGAAUAAAGUGAUCCUUGCCUCGAGUAGUAGCUAGGGUGUGCGACGGUGUGGAGUUUUUCCGUCGCUGGAAAUUUUUCUACACACCCACGCGCUGCCGGCAUGUGGGCAAGGGUGGUGAAGCCACAUUUUGUCCUGUUGUAACCCGUAGGUUGUCACGAGCGCGUAGGUGUGCUCGGAUUUCAAUUCGGACAUCGUUUGACUAUCGAACGGAUUUCGCAUAUUGUGCGUUAUCCGGGUUCGAUAGGUUCUAACCGUUGGAUCGUUUUUAAAUUAAAAUAUGUUAAUCUAGGCACUCCUAGAAUCGUGUAGGAUUUCGCUGAUCGUGAAUCGGAGCCCCGGAUGUUCCGAUUCAAUAAUUCGAAUUUUAUGGGUUACGAUAACCAUCCAAUUAUGAGCGAUCCAACCGUCCCUUUCGGAUCACACCUGCAAGACGCAUUUUCUAAACUUUAGUCGGACCUUAGGAUAUCUUGUCCUACGUACACGCACCGGGAACUUGGGGAUUUAAGUAUUUAUUUUGUGAUUUCCGUUUCGAAGUGAUGUUAUAUUAAUUAAAGGUUCGUAUCUCGAAAUAGGUGCUCCGAUCGAUCGUACACAGCAGGCGGGACCCUCUCAGGGUCCGGCAGCUUGGGACUAUUUGUGAGUGGACUUAGUUUUCAAUCAAACCCAUGGUUUUAUUGAUGAAAGAUUUAUGCAUAUGUUUUAAAUGGUAUAUGGGAUAUAAUACAUAUUCGGUUGUUGAAUUUGAUGUUAUUAUAAGCUUUGGCAAUAUAUUUUGGAUUUUGACAUAUUUGAGUAUCGUGAGUAUGUUUAUAUGGAUUUUGGGAAAUUCUAUCUAUAUUGUCUAUAUGUGAGGUACUUAGGUUGUUGAGGUGAGAUUGUGGAAGAAUUUGAGUAUGAGGGGUUGUUGAGAGAAGAUGUAUGAUUACACUAUGUAAGUACCAUCCCCUAAUUACUAGGCUUCCCACACGUGGCGUUGGUAGUUCCGCUUGUGGGAAAAACAUGUGAUUAUUAGUCUCACACGUGGCGUUGGAAGUUCCGGCGUGUGAGACACUUCCCAUACGUAGCGUUGGAAUUUCCGGCGUAUGGGAAGAUUAUGUAUAUUGCUUGGAAUCAUCACACAUGGCUUUGGAAGUUUUGGUGUGUGAUGAUGUAGUCUGCCCCCGAAGGACUUAGUAUUAGAGUUACACGUGGCGUUGGAAUUUUCGGCGUGUGAGCUAUGGAGUUUCAUCCCCUGGUUGGAUUGCUCAUCCCUAGACGCAGGAUAAUACCUGAAAAUCCUGUAGGCUAGCCAAACAAUCCCCCAGUUGGAUUGUUUUCCCUGUACCUUGGUAGUGUGAUGAGUAUAUUGUACAUUUAUAUUUAUAUAUUUAUAUCUAUAUAUAGGUGUCAGUGUAAAGCAAUUAGAGUAUAUGCAGUGGGUUGGUAAGAGCAGUAUAAUUUUGGGAAAUAAGUUUAUGGAUUGAGUGAUUUGUGGUUUUAAAGGGUUUUGGAGAUUGAUGUUUUUGGAUCAUUAAAUAUGAAUUAUAAAUCUGCAUGUCUUGAGCAUUAUUUUUACACGGUGGGGUUAUUAUGUUGUUUUAAAUGCAAACUUUGUUUUUGUCCACUCACAUGUUUUCUGUUUUGCGCCUCCCAGACAGUAGUCACUCAAGGAGAGCUACAAGCUGUGUUCGGGGCUCGAACUGUGAACUUCAAUAGUUAGGCUUUGAGUAAUUUUCUUUCUACUCAACUGGUUGUUGUAAACUAAAUCUGUUAGAUGCUCUGUAACUGCCCAUGUUAGGUUUUACUUGUGAGGCCGGAGGCCAUUUUAGUAUGUAUUGUUGUAUGUUGAAACCAUGCUACUGGUUGGGAUUAUAUUGUAUUAUACAGGUUGAAUUUUGUUGGGUUUGUUCAAUUUACAGGGGAGAUUCUGCUAAAAUUUUGGUAGAAUGUCUCGGUUUUUAGUAAGUGGGCCAGCAUCGGGAUAAUGUCGAUAACAAGACGGAAUUCGUCCCGAUUUUCGAGAAAUUCCAAGACGAGUCCUGUCAUACUGGAGCCCUGACUCAAGUCAGGAUCAGCAAUUGGGUUAAACAGACCCUAGGCAGAUGGAUAACACAAAUUUAUGCCGUUACAAGUACAAAACACUUGCAGGAUUGAGAGGAUUUGGAAAGGAGUAUAUUAUUUUAUUCUCAUUCUUAUUAUCCUUCCUAGUAAUUCCGUUUUUGUGAACCAUGCAGCAUUAUACCUAACAACCAAAGCUUUAUUUGGUAUUCCAUUUGUAACUGCAUUACUAUAAUAUAAAUGGCGAAGGAGGCACUUGUCAAUGUAUGAGAAUAUAGAAGACUUCCACGGAGUAAUAAUAAUAAUUUCAUGUUAGUAAGGUAUACUUACUUAGACAUCAAAAAGAUGGCAAAAGGUUUCAAAGAUAAAUUGGGUGAAGGAGGCUAUAGCUCCGAAUACAAGGCAAAGCUCCGCAGUGGUCGCGUGGUAGCCAUCAAGAUGUUAGGUAAGUCCAAAACUAAUGGGCAAGACUUUAUCAAUGAAGUUGGCACCAUUGGGAGGUUCACCAUUUUAAUGUGGUUCGACUAACUGGCUUAUGUGUUGAUGGUUCCAAACGCGCUCAUGUAUAUGGUUUAUUGCAGUGAGUGUCUAUUUUUUGAAGUCGAUGCAGUUCUCUUUGAUUUUGAACAUGAGUAUUUUGUAUGGUUUUAUCUAUUAAAUAUGAAUAAGAAUAUUAUCGUUUCAUUUCAAUGGGUUUAUUUUGUAUAUUAUUAUAUUUUUUUUCACCUUCUACACGUUGAGUCCCAUAAUGAAAAUUCUUGGAUCCGCCAUUGGCUGUUGCACAACGCGCUUUUUAAAAUUUUUAAUAAAUAAAUCCUGGCCAAAAUUGCAUAUCCAUUAAAAAAUUCCUGGAUCCGCCAGUGAAUACGGGUACAGAACGUUCAAGCCAAUUUAGUCAAAUCUACUCUCCAACAUGGGUUUCUGAUCAGUUGAAAGAAGUAAAGGACAUAGAAAUAGGAGAUGAUGAAACAAAUGAGGAAAAGAAUAUCGUAAAGCAGAUGAUGAUGGUGGCAUUAUGGUGCGUACAAAUGAGGCCCAGUGAACACCCUCCUGCAAAUGAAUAAAGUACUGGAGAUGCACGAAGGAGACAUUGAGAACCUUCAAAUGCCUCCAAGGCCUUCCUUAUAUCCACAACAAACUCCUGCAAAUGAGGUUGGUGGGGACAAUCCAAGACCCUGUGCAUCAAGUGGUUUAGAAUCUUUGGUUGCGGAUGCAAAUUAAGUGUUUUAAUAUUAGUCAUGAUGUGGCUGUAUGUAAGGGAAAUUUAGCAGCUCUACUUAAGGGGCAGUUAAACAUGUUUUUCGUAUUUGACCAUAGCACAACUAUUUUUAAUUUACAUGUAAUUGAGUUAAGCAAAUAAUUAGCCUCCGCCUUUGGUUAUUAGUAGCUAUGUUGAUGUGCAAAGAACAGGAUAGACAUUGUUUGAGAAAAUACCAAUGGAACUUGAAGCUAUUAGAAGAAGCAUAGACUUUGUUUGAGAAAAUGCCUGCCAAUUAGGAAUGCAAUGUAAGGUCCUUCUAGCAAUAAUGAGAAUGAAAAUACGAACAAUGGAAAAUAAGGUGUUGAGAUUUUGACCCCAAAAAGAAAGGUGUUGAGACCAAAGCAAAGGCAUAUAGACUGAGAGGAAAGUUUGUAUCAACGGCAACGGCGAAAGCAGGCAGCGCAGCUUGUAUCCUACCCUAUCCUUUGUUUUCUUCUUAAACCUUGUUAAGUUUCAGUGUUGCGGACAGAGCUACUAUAUUUGCCUGUCCCAUUAAUAAUGGAAACCAACCUUCAGCCCUAUACGUCAUAUAAUCUCAAUAUUUGAAUCUAGUUCUACCGAGUACAGACCCCAGAGCAAGCUACAGACUUAGAUUGAUAAUGGCCAGUGGGUUUGAAGUGAGCAAUUUGGGCUAAAGGAUUGAAGACAUUGCUAUUGAAACUAAAAGUUACACUCUCGUUCCAUGCACAGCUCUGUUAUUAGAUCAUUGAUCCCAUCCAUUUUCAAAUCUGUUAGCAUCGGCAAGCCUAGAUGUAACCAACUACUCGUAAAGUGGAUUCAUAGAAUUUAAAUACCAAAGCAGAAACAAGCAUGAGACAGAUGUUCCUAAGCAACUGCUCUGUUUCUUUCUAGUUUCUACUAAAUAAUGUUACCUCCAUCCUCCUACAAAGUCAAAUGAGCUCUACUUGCCCUCACUAUUAAUAUAUAUUGUGUUAAUUAAUCUCUGCUAAUAUUUUAGUCUAUUAUGCAACCAACAACAACAAAUAAUUAAAUAUUAAAAUAUUUAUUGGGCAGGCCUAGCCCAGCCCAACUAACCCAAUGUAGCCCAAACCAACCAAACUAAAUUCUUCCAUACAAAUUCAAGCCCUAAUGGCUCUGUUUGUGUGGGCGGGCUUGGGCCGAAGUGCUAAAACUUAUACCCAACCCAAGUUAGCCCAAAGAAAUGCUUAAAUCAAAAAAGCCCAACGAGGCCCAAUGAUAGAAGGCCAUACGAUCCACUUUCCAUCAAUAAUUAAACUCUCUCUCUCUCUCGCUCUUCAAUGUAUUCAUUUGUCUAGCAAUUAUUUUCCUUGAAAGUUAUAGUCUUCAAUGCAAUUGAAUGGGGCAUCUUUUACUCAAAGCUACAUCAAAAGGCCAAAAGUUAUUUUUAACCGAAUUAUUGGAGUCAUAAUAUUUCUCUUCUUCAGCUUUUUGAAGGACUUUUCCUAUUUAGAUGGGCGAUAGUACUAAACUUACACACACUAAACGGAUGCUAGAAUUUGAACCCAGAACCAUAUAUUAGGGAGCAAUUACUCUAAAUCAGUAGGUCAUUUGCUUUCCUUUUUGAUCUAGUAAGGGAAAAACGAGCCUUGUUUUUUUUGCGUAACCUAUGUGGCUCUUUGAUGUUAAAGUCUGUUAGCUUAAAAAGUCCAACCACCAUUGAAACCCCAUCAGUCUUUUCUUACUUUUUUGUUAUUUUUUUAAAAUAAUUUAAAUAAAGAUAAAGGGUAACAUGUUUUAUCAUUAAGGCUAUAUGUGGACUCAAAUUGCUUCCGUGAAGUCCAAAUAAUCAUUACUGCAUAAAAUAUUUCCCGAUUUGAGGAGUGGGUUGGAGAGAAGCGUAAGUUGACUAUUGUGGAACAACCGUUGAAUUUUCAUUGCACUUUCUUUGUUUGUUUUUUCUUUUGUCCCUUUUUUCUUUGGAAAUAGGAUAAGAACAAUCAGACAUGAUUUUCUUCUUUGUUUGUUUUUGUUAUAAAAAUAACCUGGAAUAUGUGCGAAUAUUGAGCUGCACGUAAAGUAGAUGAGACACAGUAUUUAACGAGGUUCGGCUAUGCCUACGUCCCUGGAGAGCAGCAAUAGUAACUUUUCCACUAUGUAAAAUAAUAGGGCUACAACUUUAGUGUUUACAAUAUGUGUGGCUCACUGAAUUUUCUCUCUAGGAGAAUUUCUUUCUGCUCUCUCUUUCCUCUUUCUUCCUUCUCUUCCUCUUGUCUCUUUCCUUUUCUCUCUUUCCUCUUUUCUCUUUCCCCUUCUUUCUUUCCUCUUCUCUUUCCUCUUCUCUCUUCUCUCUUUCCUCUUCUUUGUUUCUUUCCAUUUCUCCCUUUCUCUUCUCUCGGAGGUGUACAUGCAAAGGCACAAUAAUGUCUUAUUUAUAGGCUAAGGAAAUGAUGCCCGUGAAUGUACAAUAAGAGAAAGUUGCGGACAAACGUUACCCAAAGUCUCCAAAUGAAUAGUUAGUGGGCUCCACACAAAAACUUUUACAACACUCCCCCUUGAGACCACAAAUGAUAUGUCAGUUGCUUCAUCAGACUUUGCUUGGUGAAAACCUAGUAAGGUAGAGAACUGAUGGAAGGAAGAAAGAAGAGUACAACAAUCUGUAUAGCAUACUUCUGGAUGCUCCCCCUGAUUAAUAUCUCCCCCUGAUGUCUUCAUAACUAUCUUUUGGAGUGAGAAUCUUUCGGAGUGAGUGAAUGAUGUAGCCACCAACAAUUCAUAUAGUAAAUAUAUUUCCAGUGAGCUAUCUCUAUGUAAAUCAUAGAAAUUUUCAGAGUCCGCGUUUCCAACAAAACCUGGGCUAUUUGUAAGAUCAUAUGAAAGAAUAUGCCCAUACAUGGUGUUAUGCGGAGAUAGCAUCAAAUAUACCUCACAUCAUCCCAAAAUGAUGGUGAUGGAGUUGAGCCUUAUCUGGAAAAUAUGAUGUCCGGUCCAAUAUACUUCCGAAAAAUCCUUAAAGUGCCCAACGGAUAAUCCUCAUAAAAAUGCUUCAAUAUUUUCUUAGUAUAAGCAAGAAUCUCGUUGGCAUAAUGCUCGAUCUUUAAGUCGAGACAAAUAUUUCUGGAACUCUUGAGAAGCUUUAUUGUGUUGCAAACACAUUAUAAUCAAUGUACUCACUGAGGUAAUUUAUGCAUAUUAAUAUUGAGUACAAAUUUUGUGCUUCAGGCACAUGUCAUUCAGGGACUUGCUUCAUGCAAUUUCAAUCCUUUCAAGGAUUUUGUUUAAAGGGAUUAAACUUUAUGACACAUUAUAUAACUUUAACCCAGCUAUUUAUACAUCUUUAGGGAAUCACUUCAGGUGAUAUGCUCUGUGCAUUUAAUAACCCUUAAAGAUAACAUGUUGGUCUCCGUAAAUGUGCAAUAAAGGGGCACAAUUGAAUCUAUAAAUAUGGAGAAAACCCAACAUUCCUUGUUUCUGCCAGAAACAUUGUGUCAUACAAAGUAGGUAUAUUCCCUUUUAUUCCGAACACCCAAGUAUAACUUUCAGUAUUGACAAAUUUGGGGUUCGUACUGUGGGUUUGUUCUUUCACGUUCAUUCUUAUCUAUAAUGGAAUUACCUCAUUCCAUUUUGGCCAAUGAUAUUGUCGACAUUUAAUAAUUGAACGUGGUUCCAAUCAACACAGCCCAUUGAUGAUUUGAGUAGCUACUCCAAAAUCAAAAAUUGUCAUUCAUCAAUUCAUGAUCCCACCAUUCUCAUGUGCAUGCGCAUGCAUCAAUUAUAAGCAUUUCUUUGCUUUUGGGUACCCAAGCCACUGCAGGGGGCUUUUAUUAUGUGAGAAUGUGGAUUAUAACCUCCAAUGGAGCGUUAUUUUAUAGUAGGGCGUGGAUAAUCUCCAUUUAGGGAGUUGGAACAUUUAGAACCCAUAUAUCUGUCAUGCUGCAGGCAUGCCACAGAUUAAUACAUACAUGUCAAUUAAUUUAUGGGACUUUAACCCAUAUUAUGGGACUUUAACCCAUAUAAUUUGCUACGCAUUAGGCGUGCAUAAUAUCAAUAUUGACAUGUCAAAGGAUUGUCCUUUCGGGACUUCAAUCCACAUCAUUUGCUACGCAACAGGCGUGCAUCAUAUUGAUCACUGCUAUACCCAUAUUCUGUUCUUAUGGGACUUUAAUCUGUGCAGUGUAUUAUCAAUGUAUCCAACUUGCAAUCUGUAAAAUUUGCGUUAAUAAUUCAUGGAUACAUACAAGCCAUUCUUUUGGAACGGACUUAUCUCCCCAUUUGGUUACCUUUCAAGAUAAAAUAUCAAAUAGGUAUAUAAGCAUAAAAUAACACAAGUAUUGCUUACAUCCUUAGGUAGGAGAAACUUUUCUCAAGUAUCAUUCAAGCUCGUAUCGGCCCAAUAAAUAUAAAGUAUCGCUUGAUGAUCUAGUUAUAUCCUGCAAGAGCAAAAUCACAACUCUUUUCUCUGUCAAAAACAAAUAACCCUCAGAGUUAGGAUCACUCCAUGGAUUCUUUCUUCAGAUGUUCAUUCUAAAGAAAUAAAAUCUCUUAUGAACAGAGAGUUAUAAAAAGAGAAAAAAUGCAAAAAUAAUGUGAUAUUGAUUGCAAGAGAAGGUAAGCAAUCAAGGAAGGAAGCUGGUGGGAGCAGACAAUAAGCUCUCAUAUCUCCUAGUCUAGAAGGACUUCCGGAGAUUAGAGCAUAAGAUCGCCUUCACAGUUUCCUGAUGUAGCGGAAACGUGAUCAGGGAUAGUCUUGCUUCCUGAAUGGAUGAUCAGAGAUAGUUUUGCUUCUCGGGCAUAUUGAGUGCUCACUGAUAAGAAAAAUAAGUAGAUAUCGCAUCACUAGGUAUGGAGUAAACUGGAUGUCUUCUACAAAGAAAAUUUCGUUAGUAACACAUUUAUACACAAAUAGAAUGAAUAGGUAGAACCGGUGAAUUUCAAAUUAACCAUAGGAAAAUUGCGAGAUUCUCGGGAUACUUUUGAAAAAGUAGCUCCGUGAAAUCCGUAAAGCAAGAUCAGCUUUGACGAAAAUAAUACUUGAAAACGCCGAAAGUGCCGACAGGCAUUAUCAGAGGCCACGUGAAGUUUUGGACUCUGGGAAAGAAAAAGAUAAUAUGGGGAUUCGAGAAGAUAUUGGGAUCCUGGAAAUGUUGCCACAUUUUCGUCUAUAGAUAUUGCAUUUGCAAAACUUGAUUGGAGCAACUGCGUUUCAACUCAACUUCCUUCAUUUUCUGAAACUUUAGUUUUCCUAAGACUUUCUUCGAAACCUUCUUAAAAAAAUGGCUUCCUUCAGAGACUUCCAGAACAUAAUGUAAUUUUAUAGGAUUUACAGGGCCUGCACCUUCAUUGCAGGUGGAAAAAAUCUAUCUGUUGUAUGUUCCUGUAAUAAUAAUUGCGCACAUUCUUAAACUUGCACCUGUGGUUUUUACGUCUUUUCAAAAUGACGGUUUGGAACCUUGUGCCUUAUAGGUUCAAAUAACCACAUUGUCUCUCCCAAAUUGCAUGGUAGCCCGGAACUUUUGGCCUGGGCACAAACUCAGAAUUUAUUUGCCCUUUUCAAAUGGACAUGAAAUGUGAAUUGAGUAAAAGCCAUGAUAAUAUCGCAAUAUAGUAGUGAAGAGCAUUAACUACUAUAUACCCACAACUUCAAGUUCAGGAUCUCUCAUAUAUUUGGAUCCAUGGGCUUCCGGCCCAGAUAUAACAAAAUAUGUGGGGAGCCUCAAUUCAUUAUUUGAGGUUUAUAUUGAUAUUAUCCAUUUCACGGUGUAUUCUUAACAACCGGAAUUCACAAAAUAUAUUUUUUCCUUGAGGUGUCGAUUAUAACAAAAUCGAACUUUAAAUUCAUCAUCUUCUUAUGCCAAAGAAAUAUGUGGCAUACCACAAUUUGCAAUAAUACCUCAAGGGUUGUCCAUUUAAUUGUUGGAACUUCAAGUUCUCAACACUGUUAAAUUUUGAACUUCAGGCCAAAGCCACAUAUUCUCAUGGUAUGGACAUUUUUACAAUUUUCUGUACAUAUUUCGGGACUUCAAGCCCUUACAUAAUUGUCCAUAUUUUGAGGAACUUCUGGCAUCUCAUUUAAUUGCUCAUCCAUGAGUUUAAGGAACUGCAGGUUCCCUUUUGUAUAUAGUGACGGUUUACCCAAAAUGGUUCAUAUUUAUGCAUACGUCACUAUUCAUGUGAAUAUUACUAUUCAUGUGAAUAGUACUAUUCAUCAAGUCAUGAAUACUUAUCUAUUCAUCUGCCAGUACAGUUAUCAUCAAUGUGUACGGCACCAUGAAACUGCAGGUUCCCUUUUGUAUAUAGUGACGGUUUACCCAAAAUGGUUCAUAUUUAUGCAUACGUCACUAUUCAUGUGAAUAGUACUAUUCAUCAAGUCAUGAAUACGUAUCUAUUCAUCUGCCAGUACAGUUAUCAUCAAUGUGUACGGUACUAUGAACCAAUACGGUACUGUUACAUCAUUAAGGAACUCUAGGUCCUUAUUUACAUGUCAGGGAUCAAGGACCCUUAAGUCCGAUCACAUGUUUACAAAUACAGUACCGGAGAGACUGCCAGCUCUCAUAUUAAUAUCAUCAUCAAGGAUCUUCAAGUCCUGAUGUAAUUGUAUGAUGAGGAUCAAGGAACUUCUGGUCCUGAUCUGCAUACUGUAAAAACUCAUCAUACAGCACAAUUAAUCCAUAAAAUAAAUUGCUGAUAAAUAAAUUACUGGUAUGGACGAUAAACCCGCACCAUACUUUAAAUAAAUGUAAAUGUGCGGUAAAAUAAAUUCAUAAAUUAAAUUGCUUGCUGUAUGGACGUUAAUCCCGCACCAUACCUUAAAUAAAUUAAAUAGCUUGCUGUAUGGACGUUAAUCCCGCACCAUACCUUAAAUAAAAUUAAAUGUGCGGUAAAGUAAACGUGCUUGUAUGGGCACUAAUUCUGCUCCAUACAUUUAAAUAAAAGCAAAGGCGUGGACGAUAAACCCGCACCACCCUUUAAAUAUUGUCGUAUGGGUAAUAAACCUACACCAUACCAUAAAUAAAAUAAAUGUGGGAAUAAAAACCACCACUAAAAAUAUAAGAAAGUGAAAAUUACUGUAGGAAGCUUUUCCAACCCCCCUUUUUUUUCUUCAUUGGAAUCUUAUCAACACCAUGAUUCAUUAGUUUGAAAGCUAGACAAAUUAUGUUGGCUUUUCUUCUUUACAUCAACAUAAUGGUUAGUAGUAUAAAUAAUAGUGCAGUACAAAAAUUAUACAUGAGAGCUUCUCGUGCUGAUAACGUGUUAUAAAAAUAACCUGGAAUAUGUGCGAAUAUUGAGCUGCACGUAAAGUAGAUGAGACACAGUAUUUAACGAGGUUCGGCUAUGCCUACGUCCUCGGAGAGCAGCAAUAGUAACUUUUCCACUAUGUAAAAUAAUAGGGCUACAACUUUAGUGUUUACAAUAUGUGUGGCUCACUGAAUUUUCUUUCUAGGAGAAUUUCUCUCUGCUCUCUCUUUCCUCUUUCUUCCUUCUCUUCCUCUUGUCUCUUUCCUUUUCUCUCUUUCCUCUUUUCUCUUUCCCCUUCUUUCUUUCCUCUUCUCUUUCCUCUUCUCUCUUCUCUCUUUCCUCUUCUUUGUUUCUUUCCAUUUCUCCCUUUCUCUUCUCUCGGAGGUGUACAUGCAAAGGCACAAUAAUGUCUUAUUUAUAGGCUAAGGAAAUGAUGCCCGUGAAUGUACAAUAAGAGAAAGUUGCGGACAAACGUUACCCAAAGUCUCUAAAUGAAUAGUUAGUGGGCUCCACACAAAAACUUUUACAACAGUUUUUUCUUUUGUCCCUUUUUUCUUCGUUUGUUUUUCCUUUUGUCCCUUUCCGUGUGUGUGGUGCUGUGGUGAGGAAAUAUACCACACAGGUAUAUGGUCAAGGUCUUCCUCUACAUUGCCUGCUUAGACCUGGAUUCUUGCUUCUCUAGACUUAAAAGUCUUUCUUUUGGAAAUUUCACACCUAAAAGGAAGACUUUUAAGUCUAGAGAAGCAAGAAAGAGAAGUAGUUGCCUGCAGAGAGCAAUUAAGCUUGACUUUGACUUUGUAAAGUUCUGCUUUUCUACUUUCUUGUUGGUCCCAUGCAUAUGGCCCCAAUUUACACGUUAUAACCACUAGUGACGCAACUCCCUAGCUACAGUCACGAAUACUUAAAUAUCUUAUGUGUUUUUCAUUAUUUUGAUUCAUGUUCCUCUCUUGAUUGGUUUCUUAAAUCCACGUCUGGGUAUUCAUUGAUUCAUGCCUACAUUUUUUUUGUCACAAAGGAAUUUCAUGGGAGAGCUGAAAGGGUAGAAAGUAAGUAACAAGCAAAUUCUUAACAAAGAUGAGUGGUCUAAGGAGGUGGUAUACAGAGCCCAUUCCGAAUACUAUGAUUCUACUGCCAACUAAUUAAUGCGGUCUUUUUUUAUUUAUAAAAAAGUAUUAUGGAAUUCAAAUGACAGGACCCGAUCCCAAUUCCACUUUGAAAUUCGAACCAAGUCCUGUGCGUGUCCGACACCUGGCGAAUGUCGAGCACAAAUGACCUUUUUACCCUUCCUGUUACAAUUACUAGUAAAACUUCCCUUAGACUCCUGCCGAAAAUUCGGCAAAGUCUCCCCUAUAUUUUGUCUAAACCAAAAAUCUUCCACCUGUUAAACAAGCAAAUAAUUUUCCACCAACUGCCAGAAUAAAAUAACCAAGCAUUCACCAGAUCAAGUUUCCCACUAAAACGAGAUAUCAGAGCAUUUUCUACUAAUUUACAAGAUUUCAAGAACUUUUACAAUAAAAUCCUACGUUUCUUGGUGGUGCGGAAGCUAGGAGUGGCCCGGUGGUGGAUGUCAGCGCACUUCUACAGCAUGGGGGCGAAAACAAGUUUGAAAAUGUGAGUGGACAAAAAAUAAUGUUCUUGAAAACAGUUUAUAAUCAGAAUAACCCCCAUGGUAAAAAUAACUUGAUGAGUAAGGCUAAAGUUCAACCGUGUUUAAUAUAAGGUAUUCAUCUAACUAUAUAUAAAUGUAUGUAUAUAAACUCGUAAAACUGAACAAUUAUAUGGAGAUAUAAAACAUGCACGAACAUUGAGGAAACUGAUAUAAAAUGACUGAAAGCAAUAGCUCUAUAAAAGUACUCAAAUUCCUUUAAACUACCACCUAAAUGUACCCCUGUAAAAUCCUUCAAAUCCCCUGGCAGGUCUCGGCGACACAAAGUCUAUCCGAGCCGCAAACUGGCAGGAUUCAGGGGACUAUGGUCAGCCUGAUUCGCCGGCAGGUCUCGAUGACACCAAGUCAACUCGAGCCGCUCUAGCAAGAUACAGGGGACCGUAGUCAGCCUGAGCCGCAAAUCCUGGCAGGUCUCGGGACACCAAGUCUGCCGAGCCGCAAAUCCUGGCAGGUCUCGGGGACACAAAGUCAGCCGAGCUGCAAAUCCUGGCAGGUCUCGAGGACACAGAGUCAGCCGAGCCGCAAACCCUGGCACUCACGGUCCGAGCGUCCCCGAAACUAGUGAGGCAAUGUCAAGUGCACUGACAGACUGUAAAUAGACUGGAUGUCCGUAGACAUCGGUCCACCUGAGAGUAAUCACCAAAAACGGGUACAUGGUGGUUUUAAAAUAACUAUUUUUAGAAAAGUCUGAUAAUUAUCCGUAAUAUGAUUUAUCUGAGCUAAGCUGCUAUUUCUGAAAUAUAAAUCUCAAAGUCUGCUGGUUUCCACUUUUUAGCAUGUUCAACUAAGCAGCAUAGAAAUAAAGAUAUUUUACGAUGCAAUUCAUGCUCGGAAAACAUGCAAUAAUACUUAUUCAAGAUCAAAUAUGAAAUUUAAUUAUAAAAAUCGUUUAGAAAAGAAAAGUCCACUCACUGCUGGUCCGAGCUAGUUGGACCCUUUGAAGGUCCCUCCUGUGGUUCUGCCGGUCCUCUGGUGCCUAAUUACCCAUAAAGAUUAAAUUAAUAAAACUGCUCAAUAAAAGAAUUAAAGUAAACACCCUGCCCCCGGCUCCUAGAAAUGCGUGUACUCAUUUUAAAGUCACUCCUAUGCCCACUUUAGCCUUUCAGACAAUUCGAACGGCCUUGAAAGACCUGAAGCUGUUCCAAGCGAUAAACUGUCAGACCGGCCGAUCCGGAACCUCGUGGGGUCACGAUCCCCGAUGGCCAAUCUGGGAUUCUCUAAAGGUUCCUUACAGAGAAAGACCCAUGUCCUGCGAGUUUGGUCCAAAACGGACGGUCGGAUUAGCCAAAAUUGCAUUAGCGCUUAAAAUCCAAACUCUAGCCCCAGGGUUCGCGAUUUCGGAGUAUCCGGGACUCCGAUUCGCAAUCCGUCGAAUCCUAUACGAUCCUGAAAUCAUGUAGAACGACAUAUCUGAAUUUGGGUGCGAUCCAACGGCUUGACGGUACAGCACACGGGUAUCGCACAAUAUGAAAAAUCCGUUCGGGGCUCAAACGGACUCCAAAUUGAGAUCCGCGAAAGCCUACGCGCUCGUGACAACACGAAGAUUGCAAAACUACUCAGAGUCACUUCACUACCCUCACCCACGCGCCGCCACACGCGCGGGCAGCGAUGGGUGUCUAAAGCGAUUUCGGCUCGCCGGAAAAACUUCAAAUCACGGCUCCAAACUCUUACCCUAGGUAAAACACCAUAUUUGAGCCACUUUUGUUCUUGGACCUACCCCAAAAAGUGACUGGAAGUGGCCCAAAACAGAGACCAAAAAUUGGCUGAAACUUCAAGUUCAAGAAUCCAAUGGCUACACCACAAAUCGAUCUAAUCCGACCCAACAGGCAGCUAUAACAGCUCGAUAGGUUCAAGAUCCAUACCUGGGUCGACGGAAAUGGUGGCCGGAGGAGGAAGAUCGGAGGCCUUGAAGUUUCGGUGAGUUUCCGUCGUUCUUUCGCAGUUUCCGGCCAGCACAGGUCGUCGGCGGGCGGGGGAUCGGUCGGGAAAGGUAGGGGACUCGACGGCGGUUCCAUCUCCACCGGUCCCGUGGCCGGUGGUGCCCUGAGUCUGCGCCAGCAAGCUCUGGAAGGCGGCGGCCCCUUUUUUUUGCGCGAGAAAGAGAGGCUGGCUGGUUUUAUAGAUCCAACUUCGAGAUAUUUACGGUUAUGCCACUAAGACUCUUUUGACCAUAACUCCUUCAUUACAACUCCGAUUCGGGCCCACUACAUGUCUAUGAACUCAUUUCACCGUGCUUUACGCAACGGUGUAAGUGGAAUUGUCAAAUUCCUCCUCGAUCAAAAAGUCAUCUUUUUCUUAAUAAAAUAUUCCGAUGGCAAAAUUAUCUUUUCGCAUAAUAAAAUAUUCCUUAAUUUUGAAUUUUAGGUUUGAGUUAUUAUAUCAAAUCUAUGCGAAAGUUUAUAAAAGUCUAUAAUAAAGUACAUAAAAGUCAUUAAAACUACUUUGUGAAGUUUAAUUAUAAAAGUCAUUCACUUUAAAAAGUCUAUAAAAGUCUUUAUAAGUGUAGAUUGAAUACAUCCAUUAAGUUAAAGAUCGAUUCGGAGUUUACCAUAAACUUGGUUGUUUUUGCUCCAAAAACUCACAACCAAAAAAAUAGGGCGCUCACAGCUUCGGGAAAACACAAAUACAAACCAUUUACAAAAACAACGUUGCGCAGCAGUCACUGUUUUCUUUGUAACUUGAUACAAAUAAAAGGAAAUGUGAAUAAAGGACUUCAACCUGUACAAGAUUAAACAGAAAAAAUAUGUAGAGCUAAUUAAUUAUCAUUUGCUUAAUGAUCUCAGCAUCUUACAACAAGCAAAUCUCACGUCCAACUCGGAACUGAGAAUACUGAAAGAGAAGCAGUCGGUUGCAGAGAGUAAUUAAGUUAAGCUAGAUCAGAUUUUAAUUAGUUUAGCAAUUGUACUAGCUGACUUGACUUGACUAUAUUGUUAAAUUAACCUAAACGAUUGGUCAGCGUUGUAUUAACUUUUUUUUUUUUUGGGAUAUCUAGCAACUACAUAUUAUGUGGUGUUAUAUCAGAAGUGGAGGAUUCGGUGGUGACACCCUAGCUAGGUAAAGAUAUUCAAUUCGUUAUAGUGUGGCUAUUCCGAAAGC
rnacentral:lncRNA from 1 species